UGGAAUCUGAAAGCGUACUUUUUGUUCAGUCUUUUGCGCAGGAGGUGUUGCAGUUUGCGCAGGAGGUGCUGCAGAAGCUUGCCUUUGCGCAGAGGCUUCUGAAUCAAUUGGUCUUUGCGCAACUUGCUUUUCUUGCUCAGAACAAGCAUCUUGAAGCUCUUUCUCACUUCUCAAAGUAAUAGCACUGACAUUUUGUCUGGGAUUAGUUUCAGUUUGAGAAGGGAGCUUACCUUGAGUUUCAGAAUUGCCUCUUGAUGCGGUCAGUAGAUCCAUGCGCUGAUUGAGACUUUGUAUAGCGCUUGCCAUGGAUUCCAUCAUCUUUUCAAGGUGCUGAUUUGGAUUUGAAGGUGCUAGUUGGGCUUGAUUUCUUUGGAAAUUUUGGUAAUUCUGACUAUUGUUGGCCCUCCUAUAGCUGAAAUUGGGAUGGUCUCUCCAACCUGGAUUGUAUGUAUUAGAGUAUGGAUCAUGUCUAGGCUGGUUGUGGUACCCUCCAAUAGCAUUGACUUGGUGACGGUCUUCUUGGAGUGUGGGACAUUGAUCAGUUGGGUGUCCCACAUAUGCACAAAUCCCACAUGGCCUAGGUGGCUGGGGUGCUUGAAUCUGUUAUACCACGUCUACGACAACAUUUUUUAUAACAGAUGUUAGCUCAGAAAUAGUAGGAAAACUUACCUCAUUGACUCUUUGUAGUUGCUUCUCCUCUCCAUAUUGCCUAGAUGAGGCUGCAAGAGUGGAGAUUAACUCUCUCAUCUCUCUAGGUGUCUUGUCUGCAAUGGACCCUCCACAAGCUACAUUAAUGAGUUUUCGUUCUGAAGGAGACAAUCCUCCAUAGAAGAAUUGUAUGAGAGAUUUGUCUGACAUGUCAUGUUGGGGGCAACCUGUGCAAAGUCUUUCAAACCUUUCCCAAUAAUCAUAUAAGUCUUCAGUUGGUUUUUGCAUUAUGCUUGUGAUUUCUCUUAUUAUGCCAAUUGACUUAUGAGUUGGGAAG
rnacentral:lncRNA from 1 species